CGCCUCGGCAGUGGGCAAAGAGACACCUUGUUGGUGCCGAUGCUCGUAUAUCAGUCAGGGACAGAGCAGAUGGCAGUCCUUUAUCAAUCCUAGCUUGAUGCCUGACUUUGUGGCCCCAAGCUGUUUUAUGCCUAGGAUACAUAA